rnacentral:rRNA from 1 species
GCCCCCCUCAAGAUGAGAUAUCCCCCGCGAAAGCGGUAAGACCCCUUGAAGACGACGAGGUAGAUAGGUUGGAGGUGGAAGCGCAGCAAUGCGUGUAGCUGACCAAUACUAAUAGGUCGAAGGCUUAUCCA